rnacentral:rRNA from 1 species
UCCUACGGGGGGCAGCAGUAGGGAAUAUUGCACAAUGGGCGCAAGCCUGAUGCAGCAACGCCGCGUGCGCGAUGAAGGCCUUCGGGUCGUAAAGCGCUUUUCUGGAGGACGAGGAAGGACGGUACUCCAGGAAGAAGGCUCGGCUAACUACGUGCCAGCAGCCGCGGUAAAACGUAGGAGCCUAGCGUUAUCCGAAUUCACUGGGCGUAAAGCGCGUGCAGGCGGUUCGGUAAGUUGGAUGUGAAAUCUCCUGGCUCAACUGGGAGAGGACGUUCAAGACUGUCGGACUAGAGGACGGUAGAGGAAGGUAGAAUUCCCGGUGUAGUGGUGAAAUGCGUAGAUAUCGGGAGGAAUACCAGUGGCGAAGGCGGCCUUCUGGGCCGUUCCUGACGCUCAGACGCGAAAGCUAGGGGAGCAAACGGGAUUAGAAACCCCAGUAGUCCA